rnacentral:rRNA from 1 species
CAGUAGCCACGGUAAAACGUAGGUGGCAAGCGUUGUCCGGAAUUAUUGGGCGUAAAGCGCGCGCAGGCGGAUCGGUCAGUUUGUCUUAAAAGUUCGGGGCUUAACCCCGUGAUGGGAUGGAAACUGCCAAUCUAGAGUAUCGGAGAGGAAAGUGGAAUUCCUAGUGUAGCGGUGAAAUGCGCAGAUAUUAGGAAGAACACCAGUGGCGAAGGCGACUUUCUGGACGAAAACUGACGCUGAGGCGCGAAAGCCAGGGGAGCGAACGGGAUUAGAUACCCGCGUAGUCCCUGUCUCUUAUACA